AGCGAACGCUGGCGGCAGGCCUAACACAUGCAAGUCGAACGAAGUCUUCGGACUUAGUGGCGGACGGGUGAGUAACACGUGGGAACGUGCCUUUAGGUUCGGAAUAACUCAGGGAAACUUGUGCUAAUACCGAAUGUGCCCUUCGGGGGAAAGAUUUAUCGCCUUUAGAGCGGCCCGCGUCUGAUUAGCUCGUUGGUGAGGUAAAGGCUCACCAAGGCUACGAGCAGUAGCUGGUCUGAGAGGAUGAUCAGCCACAUUGGGACUGAGACACGGGCCAAACUCCUACGGGAGGCAGCAGUGGUGAAUAUUGCGCAAUGGGCGAAAGCCUGACGCGGCCAUGCCGCGUGAAUGAUGAAGGUCUUAGGAUUGUAAAAUUCUUUCACCGGGGACGAUAAUGACGGUACCCGGAGAAGAAGCCCCGGCUAACUUCGUGCCAGCCGCCGCAGUAAGAC
rnacentral:rRNA from 1 species